rfam:Aedes aegypti strain Liverpool supercont1.366 genomic scaffold, whole genome shotgun sequence.
CCUCUCAUGGCGUAGUGGUUAACGCGCCCCAACUAGAGAUCGAGGAGUCGUGAGUUCGAUUCUCACUGAGAAGA